UACAGAGGGGGCAAGCGUUGUUCGGAAUUACUGGGCGUAAAGGGCGCGUAGGCGGCCUGCUAAGUCGAACGUGAAAUCCCCGAGCUCAACUCGGGAACUGCGUCCGAUAUUGGCAGGCUUGAAUCCGGGAGAGGGAUGCGGAAUUCCAGGUGUAGCGGUGAAAUGCGUAGAUAUCUGGAGGAACACCGGUGGCGAAGGCGGCAUCCUGGACCGGCAUUGACGCUGAGGCGCGAAAGCCAGGGGAGCAAACGGG
rnacentral:rRNA from 1 species